rnacentral:rRNA from 1 species
UACGUAGGGUGCGAGCGUUGUCCGGAAUUACUGGGCGUAAAGAGCUCGUAGGUGGUUUGUCGCGUUGUCCGUGAAAACUCACAACUCAAUUGUGGGCGUGCGGGCGAUACGGGCAGACUGGAGUACUGCAGGGGAGACUGGAAUUCCUGGUGUAGCGGUGGAAUGCGCAGAUAUCAGGAGGAACACCGGUGGCGAAGGCGGGUCUCUGGGCCGAUGAUUGACGCUGAGGAGCGAAAGCGUGGGGAGCAAACAGG